rnacentral:rRNA from 1 species
UGCGAGUGAAGCGGGAAAAGCUCAAAUUUAAAAUCUGGCAGUCUUUGGCUGUCCGAGUUGUAAUCUAGAGAAGUGUUAUCCGCGCUGGACCGUGUACAAGUCUCCUGGAAUGGAGCGUCAUAGAGGGUGAGAAUCCCGUCUUUGACACGGACUGCCAGGGCUUUGUGAUGCGCUCUCAAAGAGUCGAGUUGUUUGGGAAUGCAGCUCAAAAUGGGUGGUAAAUUCCAUCUAAAGCUAAAUAUUGGCGAGAGACCGAUAGCGAACAAGUACCGUGAGGGAAAGAUGAAAAGAACUUUGGAAAGAGAGUUAAACAGUACGUGAAAUUGCUGAAAGGGAAACGCUUGAAGUCAGUCGCGUUGUCCAGGGAUCAACCUUGCUUUUGCUUGGUGUAUUUUCUGGUUGACGGGUCAGCAUCAAUUUUGACCAUUGGAAAAAGGUCAGGGGAAUGUGGCAUCUUCGGAUGUGUUAUAGCCCUUGGUUGCAUACAAUGGUUGGGAUUGAGGAACUCAGCACGCCGCAAGGCCGGGUUUUUUUAACCACGUACGUGCUUAGGAUGCUGGCAUAAUGGCUUUAAUCGACCCGUCUUGAAACACGGACCAAGGAGUCUAACAUGCCUGCGAGUGUUUGGGUGGAAAACCCGAGCGCGCAAUGAAAGUGAAAGUUGAGAUCCCUGUCGUGGGGAGCAUCGACGCCCGGACCAGACCUUUUGUGACGGUUCCGCGGUAGAGCAUGUAUGUUGGGACCCGAAAGAUGGUGAACUAUGCCUGAAUAGGGUGAAGCCAGAGGAAACUCUGGUGGAGGCUCGUAGC